rnacentral:rRNA from 1 species
GAUGAACGCUAGCGGCAGGCCUAACACAUGCAAGUCGAGGGGUAACAGAGGGUGCUUGCACCUUGCUGACGACCGGCGCACGGGUGCGGAACGCGUAUCGAACCUGCCCCCUUCAGGGGAAUAGCCCAGAGAAAUUUGGAUUAAUGCCCCAUGGUACCAUAAGGUUGCAUGACCAUAUGGUUAAAGAUUUAUCGGAAGGGGAUGGCGAUGCGUAUCAUUAGCUAGUUGGUAAGGUAACGGCUUACCAAGGCAACGAUGAUUAGGGGCCCUGAGAGGGGGAUCCCCCACACUGGUACUGAGACACGGACCAGACUCCUACGGGAGGCAGCAGUGAGGAAUAUUGGACAAUGGCCGGAAGGUUGAUCCAGCCAUGCCGCGUGCAGGAUGACUGCCCUAUGGGUUGUAAACUGCUUUUAUACGGGAAGAAACCUCCCCACGUGUGGGGAGCUGACGGUACCGUAAGAAUAAGGACCGGCUAACUCCGUGCCAGCCGCCGCCGUAAUAC